rnacentral:tRNA from 1 species
UCCCUGGUGGCUCAGAUGGUAAAGCGUCUGCCUGCAAUGCGGCAGACCUGGGUUCGAUCCCUGGGUCGGGAA